CCUUUAUCUAUAUAUAUCAAGUUAAUCUGAAUAGUUCAAAAUGAAACUGCUGCAAAAGGUUAAAAGAAAGGGUUAAAUGCGAAAACAACUCAUAUCAAAUGAACUCUAAUAUACAGGGUCAAUUACCAAAUGUUGGGAUAUAAACUAUUGAACAGCAUGUAAUGCAUAUAGAAUAUUUCCAUUUUAAUCAAAUUCAUAUGUUAUCAUGUAUAUACUGAAUGAAAGGUAAUCACCAGAACUGUAAAUGACAACUGCUUUAAGUAAUUUAAAAAUAGCUAAUGCAAAUGUAUUGUAAAAUGAUUUGUUGUUCAGUUGAAUACAUUUACAUUAUGAAAUAAUCAACUGUAUUUUUUUAAAUAUUAAAAAAACUUGCAAAUUUUGUUUUCUCGAAGAUGUACUCACAACUAAUAAUUAAAGGAAUGCAAAUAAAAAUAUUCUCAAUUAGUUUCAAGAGACUCACUUUAUAUCAAUUAAAAGUUAGAGCAUUUACAUUUCAUAUUGCGAAAAAAAUGUUGAAGUCAGAUUUGUUGAGAACCAGUAACACAUAUUUUGCUUACAUAAAAUAAAAUAUUAUCAAAAACAGAUUAAAGAAAUUAUCAAAUUAACAUCUACUAUAAAA
rnacentral:lncRNA from 1 species